UACGUAGGGGGCAAGCGUUGUCCGGAAUCAUUGGGCGUAAAGCGCGUGUAGGCGGCCAGAAAAGUCCGCUGUGAAAACUCGAGGCUCAACUUCGAGCUGUCGGUGGAAACCAUCUGGCUAGAGUCCGGAAGAGGAGAAUGGAAUUCCCGGUGUAGUGGUGAAAUGCGUAGAGAUCGGGAGGAACACCCGUGGCGAAGGCGGCUCACUGGGCUGACCUUGACGCUGAGGCGCGAAGGCGUGGGGAGCGAACGGG
rnacentral:rRNA from 1 species